UACGGAGGAUGCGAGCGUUAUCCGGAUUUAUUGGGUUUAAAGGGUGCGUAGGCGGUUAUAUAAGUUAGUGGUAAAAUACUAGGGCUUCACCUUGGUUCGCCAUUAAAACUGUAUAACUAGAAUGUAAACGAGGUAGGCGGAAUAAGUUAAGUAGCGGUGAAAUGCUUAGAUAUAACUUAGAACACCGAUAGCGAAGGCAGCUUACCAGGCUACAAUUGACGCUGAUGCACGAAAGCGUGGGUAUCGAACAGG
rnacentral:rRNA from 1 species